ACACUCAUCACAUGGAGAUCAUUGAAGAUGUAGAUUCCGAUUCAGUAGGUGGGGUCUGAGAUUCUGCGUUUCUAACAAGCUCCCGUGGGAUGUGGCU
rnacentral:pre_miRNA from 1 species